UUGGAGGGCAAGUCUGGUGCCAGCAGCCGCGGUAAUUCCAGCUCCAAUAGCGUAUAUUAAAGUUGUUGCAGUUAAAAAGCUCGCAGUUGAAUUUCGGGAUUAGUACGUCGGUCGUGCCUUAGGUACGUACUGGUGUUACUGGUUCCUACCUUCUGACGAACCAUCAUGUCAUUAAUUUGGUGUGGUGGGGAAUCAGGACUGUUACUUUGAAAAAAUUAGAGUGUUUAAAGCAGGCUCGCGCUUGAAUACAUUAGCAUGGAAUAAUGAAAUAGGACGUUGAUCCUAUUUUGUUGGUUUCUAGGAUUGACGUAAUGAUUAAUAGGGAUAGUUGGGGGCAUUGGUAUUCAAUUGUCAGAGGUGAAAUUCUUGGAUUUAUUGAAGACUAACUACUGCGAAAGCAUUUGCCAAGGAUGUUUUCAUUAAUCAAGAACGAAAGUUAGGGGAUCGAAGACGAUCAGAUACCGUCGUAGUCUUAACCAUAAACUAUGCCGACUAGGGAUCGGAUGAUGUUAUUUUUAAUGACUCAUUCGGCACCUUACGGGAAAC
rnacentral:rRNA from 1 species